rnacentral:rRNA from 1 species
UACGGAGGGGGGCUAGCGUUGUUCGGAAUUACUGGGCGUAAAGCGCGCGUAGGCGGACCUGCAAGUCGGGGGUGAAAUCUCGGAGCUUAACUCCGAAACUGCAUUCGAUACUGCCGUGCUUGAGGACUGGAGAGGAGACUGGAAUUUACGGUGUAGCGGUGAAAUGCGUAGAUAUCGUAAGGAAGACCAGUGGCGAAGGCGGGUCUCUGGACAGUUCCUGACGCUGAGGCACGAAGGUCAGGGGAGCAAACGGG